rnacentral:rRNA from 1 species
ACGAACGCUGGCGGCAGGCCUAACACAUGCAAGUCGAGCGCCCCGCAAGGGGAGCGGCGGACGGGUGAGUAACGCGUGGGAAUAUGCCCUUUGCUACGGAAUAGUCUCGGGAAACUGGGGGUAAUACCGUAUACGCCCUUUGGGGGAAAGAUUUAUCGGCGAAGGAUUAGCCCGCGUUGGAUUAGGUAGUUGGUGGGGUAAUGGCCUACCAAGCCGACGAUCCAUAGAUGGUUUGAGAGGAUGAUCAGCCACACUGGGACUGAGACACGGCCCAGACUCCUACGGGAGGCAGCAGUGGGGAAUCUUAGACAAUGGGGGCAACCCUGAUCUAGCCAUGCCGCGGGAGUGAUGAAGGCCUUAGGGUUGUAAAGCUCUUUCAGCUGGGAAGAUAAUGACGGUACCAGCAGAAGAAGCCCCGGCUAACUCCGUG